UACGUAGGCAGCGAGCGUUGUUCGGAGUUACUGGGCGUAAAGAGUGCGUAGGCGGUUUUCUAAGUUUGGUGUGAAAUCUCCCGGCUUAACUGGGAGGUGCGCCGAAGACUGGAAGGCUUGAGUAUGGGAGAGGUAAGCGGGAAUUCCUGGUGUAGCGGUGAAAUGCGUAGAGAUCGGGAGGAACACCAGUGGCGAAGGCGGCUACCUGGACCAGCAUUGACACUCAAGCACGAAAGCGUGGGGAGCAAACAGG
rnacentral:rRNA from 1 species